AAAGCGAGAACAAAUCAGAAGAUAGACUGGUGGUCUGUCCUGAGUCCGAAUGCCUAUGAUCUAACCCUGGAAAGGCUGCACUCUUUAUGAGUUUCAAGGCCGAUGUGAGGAGUUAUUCGAAACUGUCACUGGAUCUGGGGUUGGUGGCUAAAUGUCAAUCGUAUAGGCUAAUAUCUGGUUGCGUUCGAAAGAUCUAUAGCAAU
rnacentral:rRNA from 1 species